rnacentral:rRNA from 1 species
AUGAAUCGCCGUUUCGUCAAUCUGCUGGUCAAUAGGUUGUGCGCCCCUCGACCCGCUUACAGGCUGCACUGCAUCGACCCCGCAACCUUGUUUUACCCUACCGGAUCGCCACAGCCAGCAGAUCCAGCUGCCAUAAACGACAGCGCUCCAGCUCCUGGGAGGUUGCCUGCGCCCACCAUAUCCUUCGACUGGCCCUGCAAGCCGCACCAAUCCGGCUGGAUGGAUUUCAUGGCCUUCAAGAACAACAUCAUUGCCGUCGACCACGAGGGCCGCACGCUCCUCUACGACACCGCCUCCAGGGCAGUCCGGGCCUUGAACCCGAUGCAACCCCCUCUGCGGUCAUACAACAUAUUCGUCACAGUAGGCGACAGCCUGUAUGUCAUGGCGAGCGAGGCUGGCUUGGGAUCCCGGCUUAUAUGGUUCCAUGCUCUCAUCUACGGCCAGCCGCCCGAUUUCAUAGGUCAGCAGGACUGGUACUGGCGUCCUCUCGACCUGCCUUGCUUUGAUUAUGAGGGUGCUAAUUACAAGUCGGAUCUGCCUCACUCUGAUUACGACUCGGAUGCUGAUGAGGACUGGAAUGCUGAUUACACGGAUUCUGCAGAUGAUACAAACACCAAUGAGUCACCACACCCCUGUGCGAUCUGUGCCUACACGGUGGUUGGUAAUUCACAGAUCUGGGUAUCCACACUGGGCGCUGGCACGUACUCCUUUGACAUCGUGAGUGGCACGUGGAGCAAGGUCGGCAUGUGGGUGCUGCCGUUCAGAGGCCGUGCUGUUUACGUCCCCGAGCACAACCUCUGGUUUGGCUUCUCAGAUAAAGACGAUCAGCUCUGUGCGGUUGACCUUGCUCUGACGCAGCCGGUGCUCCAGAAGGUGUUAGAAGACCCACCUCUGCCCGAGGCGUGUUCCCGGAUGGCUUCCCAUCUUCUUCAUUUGGGCUCUGGCAAGUUGUGCGUGCAAAGGCUGUUCCAGAAGACACAGCAGGGGAGCCUUCUUCAGUCAGUUCCCAGUGAUGAGAAAGAUGAAGGUUUUGCCGUGCUCGCUGGUGUGGAAGUUCGGCGCGAUGAUGGCAUUGGAGACCUUCAGAUGAUCAAGCACAAGUCCAUGCAUUAUGGUUUUGAUGAAAAUGGCGUCAAGCUGCUGUGA